rnacentral:rRNA from 1 species
AGAGUUUGAUCCUGGCUCAGGAUGAACGCUGGCGGCGUGCUUAACACAUGCAAGUCGAACGAAGCACUUUAAUUGAUUUCUUCGGAAUGAAGUUUUUGUGACUGAGUGGCGGACGGGUGAGUAACGCGUGGGUAACCUGCCUCAUACAGGGGGAUAACAGUUGGAAACGACUGCUAAUACCGCAUAGGCGCACAGGAUUGCAUGAUCCAGUGUGAAAAACUCCGGUGGUAUGAGAUGGACCCGCGUCUGAUUAGCCAGUUGGCGGGGUAACGGCCCACCAAAGCGACGAUCAGUAGCCGACCUGAGAGGGUGACCGGCCACAUUGGGACUGAGACACGGCCCAAACUCCUACGGGAGGCAGCAGUGGGGAAUAUUGCACAAUGGGGGAAACCCUGAUGCAGCGACGCCGCGUGAGCGAAGAAGUAUUUCGGUAUGUAAAGCUCUAUCAGCAGGGAAGAAGAAUGACGGUACCUGACUAAGAAGCACCGGCUAAAUACGUGCCAGCAGCCGCGGUAAUACGUAUGGUGCAAGCGUUAUCCGGAUUUACUGGGUGUAAAGGGAGCGCAGGCGGUACGGCAAGUCUGAUGUGAAAUCCCGGGGCUCAACCCCGGUACUGCAUUGGAAACUGUCGGACUAGAGUGUCGGAGGGGUAAGUGGAAUUCCUAGUGUAGCGGUGAAAUGCGUAGAUAUUAGGAGGAACACCAGUUGCGAAGGCGGCUCUCUGGACUGUAACUGACACUGAGGCACGAAAGCGUGGGGAGCAAACAGGGUUAGAUACCCUGGUAGUCCACGCCGUAAACGAUGAGUACUAGCUGUCGGAGGUUACCCCCUUCGGUGGCGCAGCUAACGCAUUAAGUACUCCGCCUGGGAAGUACGCUCGCAAGAGUGAAACUCAAAGGAAUUGACGGGGACCCGCACAAGUAGCGGAGCAUGUGGUUUAAUUCGAAGCAACGCGAAGAACCUUACCUAAGCUUGACAUCCUUUUGACCGAUGCCUAAUCGCAUCUUUCCCUUCGGGGACAGAAGUGACAGGUGGUGCGUGGUUGUCGUCAGCUCGUGUCGUGAGAUGUUGGGUUAAGUCCCGCAACGAGCGCAACCCUUGCCUUUAGUUGCCAGCAUUAAGUUGGGCACUCUAGAGGGACUGCCAGGGAUAACCUGGAGGAAGGUGGGGAUGACGUCAAAUCAUCAUGCCCCUUAUGCUUAGGGCUACACACGUGCUACAAUGGGUGGUACAGAGGGCAGCCAAGUCGUGAGGCGGAGCUAAUCCCUUAAAGCCAUUCUCAGUUCGGAUUGUAGGCUGAAACUCGCCUACAUGAAGCUGGAGUUACUAGUAAUCGCAGAUCAGAAUGCUGCGGUGAAUGCGUUCCCGGGUCUUGUACACACCGCCCGUCACACCACGGGAGUUGGGGGCGCCCAAAGCCGGAUUGCUAACCUUUUGGAAGUGUCCGUCGAGGGUGAAAUCAAUAACUGGGGUGAAGUCGUAACAAGGUA